rnacentral:rRNA from 1 species
CCUACGGGUGGCAGCAGUGAGGAAUAUUGGUCAAUGGGCGGAAGCCUGAACCAGCCAAGUCGCGUGAGGGAUUAAGGCCCUGCGGGUCGUAAACCUCUUUUGCCGGGGAGCAGUGGUCCGGACGAGUCCGGGCCGGGAGAGUACCCGGAGAAAAAGCAUCGGCUAACUCCGUGCCAGCAGCCGCGGUAAUACGUAGGUGGCAAGGCUGAUCCGGAUUUGUUGGGUGUAAGGGGCGUGUAAGCGGGAGGGCAAGUCAGAUGGGAAAACUCAGGGAUCAACCCUGGGCCUGCAGUUGAAACUGUGUUUCUUGAGUGCUGGAGAGGCAAUCGGAAUUCCGUGUGUAGCGGUGAAAUGCGUAGAUAUACGGAGGAACACCAGUGGCGAAGGCGGAUUGCUGGACAGUAACUGACGCUGAGGCGCGAAAGCGUGGGGAGCAAACAGGAUUAGAUACCCGGGUAGUC